rnacentral:misc_RNA from 1 species
AGGUUCGGGAGGUUUGACAGGGAAAUUGACAUUGGAGUUCCGGACGAGAUUGGACGCCUCGAGGUCCUACGUAUCCACACAAGGAACAUGAAGCUAUCGGAAGAUGUUGAUAUGGAGAAAAUAUCCAAGAACACCCACGGCUAUGUUGGGGCCGAUCUGGCAGCCCUGUGCACUGAAGCUGCCCUUCAGUGCAUUAGGGAGAAAAUGGAUGUCAUCGAUCUAGAGGACGAGACUAUCGAUGCUGAAAUACUUAACUCAAUGGCUGUUAGCGAUGAACAUUUCAAAACUGCUCUUGGAACCAGCAAUCCUUCUGCGCUUCGCGAGACCGUUG